CGGGGAAUAUUGCACAAUGGGCGAAAGCCUGAUGCAGCGACGCCGCGUGGGGGAUGACGGCCUUCGGGUUGUAAACCCCUUUCAGUAGGGAAGAAGCGAAAGUGACGGUACCUGCAGAAGAAGCGCCGGCUAACUACGUGCCAGCAGCCGCGGUAAUACGUAGGGCGCAAGCGUUGUCCGGAAUUAUUGGGCGUAAAGAGCUCGUAGGUGGCUUGUCGCGUCUGCCGUGAAAACCCGAGGCUCAACCUCGGGCGUGCGGUGGGUACGGGCAGGCUAGAGUGUGGUAGGGGAGACUGGAACUCCUGGUGUAGCGGUGAAAUGCGCAGAUAUCAGGAAGAACACCGAUGGCGAAGGCAGGUCUCUGGGCCAUUACUGACACUGAGGAGCGAAAGCAUGGGUAGCGAACAG
rnacentral:rRNA from 1 species